UAGUUUUUAAAAAAAUAAAAGGUCACCAUCCCCGAGUCAAAAUUUGUUUCAAAAUUUCAACGCACCGCAAAUAGUGACGAUAACGUUGAACAGUCCGGUAAAGUCGAGAGUGCAGUGCAGAUCCUGUUCCGAUCAAGUCCUAAUUCCGCAUCCGCAUCCGCAUUCGUAUCCGUAUCCGCAUGCGUGUCCCAUUUAAUGUGCGAAUUGAGAAAAUAACACCUGAAAAAGGAUUUAAGAUUGCAGGUAGACAGAGUGCGACUGAACGACGACACUAGACCGCGAGCGAGUGAAAGGGAAGGAGAGACAGAAAGCGAGAGGCAAGAUACAGAGGUCAAGAGUGCAAGGAUCAAUAUUUACCAUAAAAAGUUCAGUGAAACAUAGAAGUGACUUGGCAACAUCAAGUAGUCGGUCAGUUAUCUGUCAAGGUUUUAAGAGACGUACAAAAACGAAACGAAAACAAUCAAAACGAGAACAAAUUGCUGAAAUCAAAAAAUAAAUCAAAUUGCCUGCAAGAUUGCAGUAUUACGAGGUCAAGAGAUUAUACAAAAGAACAAGUCUUAAGAACAGCAAAAGGAAUCACCAAGAUAUAUUGAAACAAAUAGAAAAAGACACACCUCAUACAAUUUAAUACACAAAAGAAGGUUGCAAGAUUAUCAAAUAGCAGAAGAAGAGUAGGACCUAAAGCGGAGCAAAAGCUGUUACUAGAACA